rnacentral:rRNA from 1 species
GAUCAUGGCUCAGAACGAACACUGGCGGCAUGCCUAACACAUGCAAGUCGAACGAAGUCUUCGGACUUAGUGGCGCACGGGUGCGUAACGCGUGGGAAUCUGCCCUUGGGUACGGAAUAACUCAGAGAAAUUUGUGCUAAUACCGUAUAAUGACUUCGGUCCAAAGAUUUAUCGCCCAAGGAUGAGCCCGCGUAAGAUUAGCUAGUUGGUGGGGUAAAGGCCCACCAAGGCGACGAUCUUUAGCUGGUCUGAGAGGAUGAUCAGCCACACUGGGACUGAGACACGGCCCAGACCCCUACGGGAGGCAGCAGUGGGGAAUAUUGGACAAUGGGCGAAAGCCUGAUCCAAGCAAUGCCGCGUGAGGGAAGAAGGUCUUCGGAUUGUAAACCUCUUUCAGCAGGGAAGAAGGAAGUGACGGUACCUGCAGAAGAAGCCACGGCUAACUACGUGCCAGCCGCGGC